UCAAACGUAACGCUAGAAGGCCUGGUCUCGCAUGUUCCAUCAACUCCUAGCCGGUCAUGUAACAAAAACAAAAGAUAAAUCGUUUUUAAGAGAGACGAAAGUUUAUCGUAGCGUAACAAUGCAGCGCUGUAACCCGACCUCUGGGGGUGAGUACACGAUAUGGACGUGAUCUCGCCUCAAGAGUGUAUCGUUUAACCCUAGGCCAUGAGUGUAGGGCCAGAUGAAAAGGUUACCUAUAUAAAAGCGUAAUACAAUAUUUCGUGAUGCCAGUUCCACUAUAUUCGUCUUGUGAAGAUAAUUUGGAUUGCAGUGAAUCAAUGCGUUUUUGUUCUGGUUCGAGAGGUUUUCUUUUUUAUGGGUCACAGACGUUAAUAGUUGGUGCUGUAUCUCUGUCGUUAACACUAUCCCGUCCUGAUAAGAAUGGAAGUCCUCCCUUGAGAAUAUCCCUCGUCUUGCGAUAAGUUUCCCCGCGCACUACUAUUUUAAGCCAAUGAUAUAUAAAAGGCGUCUUGAUAAGAGAAAUGUUAUUAUUGGUUUGAAUGUUUUUACGUCCAAGUGUAACAUACUAUUUAUUGAUCUUUAACAAAUACAUUUUUAAUAAACAUUGUAAGUAAAGUGUAUUGUGAGUCACAUCAAAAAUAAUAGCAGUUAAAUUAUUCGUGUCAUUGUAACUUGUAGACAGACGAUCAUACACCCACCUGGCCCACCUGGUGGUGAGUGGUUACCGUCGCCCAUAGACUUCAGCAAUGCCAGGGGCAGAGCCAAUAUGCCUACCUUUUAGUACAUUGUACCAUUUUUAUGUGAAUUUAAAAGAAAAUGAACACAUUUAGGCUAGUUCAAUGGAUUUUUUUGUUUUUACUAUUUCCUAAAUUGAAAUUGAAUUUGUAAAGUUAAACAGUAGUGUUGGUUGUAAUGUUGAAUAAAUGUUUUUGAUGAUGGAA